rnacentral:rRNA from 1 species
AUUGGGCGUAAGCGCGCGCAGGUGGUUUCUUAAGUCUGAUGUGAAAGCCCACGGCUCAACCGUGGAGGGUCAUUGGAAACUGGGAGACUUGAGUGCAGAAGAGGAAAGUGGAAUUCCAUGUGUAGCGGUGAAAUGCGUAGAGAUAUGGAGGAACACCAGUGGCGAAGGCGACUUUCUGGUCUGUAACUGACACUGAGGCGCGAAAGCGUGGGGAGCAAACAAGAUUAUAUACCC